UUUGAAAACGUUUUUAUAUAUUUGCGUUUUUUAUCGCCGUAUUCAAAUUUUUAAUUUUCAAAUUUUUGGUAGCAAAUUGUUGGUAACAGUGCUUGGAUAAUCUAACGCUACAUGGAAACACUUUAGUUUAAAUUAACUUUAACGGUUUUUCAUUAUUUUGGAAGAAGCUUCUGAUGUGCACCGGAACAAGAUGAAUGAUAAUAAUCGUUUUGAGACAGCAAGAACACUUUAUCAUUUGAAUCGUAUUAAGUACUAUUACAUUGAAGGUUACCGGGUUGAUCAUAAACGUUUAUUGACAUUCAGACGUCAUGGAAACUAGUUUCAGGAAAUUUGUGAACUAGUGCAAUUCUUUGUGUCAGGAUACGAUCACUACGAAUUCUGGAAAAUACACGUUCACAAGACAAUGAUCACUGGUGGCAGGUUCGUGAUGUUAUGCUGAAGAAUCGACGCUGCACGUCCUCGUCACGUGGAGAACCGAGAAGUGGCAAGUCAUUACCGAACGACCCUGUGUAUCUGUGCAUACGUGACAUUAUCGAAUGGCACGUAGAAGCAUACACUAUACACAUAAUACCCACACGCACGCAUAAGCAACACCGCUGUCAUCUUAGUGACGUUUAUUCGUUCAUCUGUUCAGUUGAUGGCUCGCUUACUUUCGUCACGACAGUAGGAUUGUAUUUAAUUUUUCCAACACGGAAAUUGACGCAAUCUGUUUGAAAUCACUUACAUAAUAAAGACGGUUUUGUUUCGAUUACAAUAUAUUUUUUCAAAACAUUUUGUAACACAGAACUGCAAUUCCAGUUAUUUAGGAAAACAAAGAAUUGGCAAUGAAUCUUUUUCCGUGUUCAGCUGUAAUUGGAUCAUUGAACACGAGAUAACAACAGGUCAUGAUAAGAUACGAUAAAUUAAUUCGACGGAGAGAUAGACAACUAUUUUUGAAAUCAAUGUAAUAUUAAGGACAAGGUCUAUACCGGCGUUCGAAAAUGAACAAUCCAACGUUGCGUAUUAUGGAAAGCUAGAAAGCUGGAUUAUCGUUCUUCCGUGAAAGUAUCAAUGCGGAGAAAAUGCAACGGUGCAAACAGGAAUUACAUGUACAAAUUUAUCUGCACGGAGAAAGCGAAAGGCAAAAAGAAAAAAUGAAUCACCAAGAGAUUUCGUCUGAACUUUAUCGUGUUGUUUCGCACAAUUACACAAGCAUCAAAGACAAAUGAAUUAACCCGUUUAUUCCACUUUUCAAGAUAAAUACGCAAACAUAGAUAACAAGUGUAACAAGUAUUUUUGUACAAAAACUUGAUAUGUAAAUAACUCUUUGUGUAGUUACAUAAAAAGGGUUGUACACUUCUUUUAUAGAGUCAUAACUAAAAUUAAUUUUAGUUGCAUCUAUUAGACUGUUAUAUUGUCAUGAAUGGAAUUACAGUAGUAAAAUUAUUGAAAUUCAUAGUAUGUUGAGUUAGUUAAAACGUACAUGCUUUGUGGGAGCGCCACUAGCGCGUGUGAAUAUCUUUGGCAAUAAACGAGAGUCUACUGUAGUUCUAACUGAGUCAAUGAAACCACAAAGUAUACGCAACGAGGAAAUUCUGCAACCGUUACAUUAUCAUUUACCAAGAAACAGUACAUAUAAACAAUUUUUUAUAGCAUACUGAAUAUGCAAUGAGAUAAAAAAUACAUAUUUAAUUAAAUGAAUCAUUCAAGAACAAUAGUGACUCACAGCAAUAAAUUAGUUAAAUAAACUUAUCAAAAAUAUUACACGUUCAUAUAUAUCUGUAUGUAAUAAUUAUGAUAUAUCAUGGAAGGAAUUGAUAAGAUUAAUCUAUGCAUUAUGUACAUAACAUGUCAACUAUAUGAAAAAAGUGUGUAUAAAUGUG
rnacentral:lncRNA from 1 species